GACGAACGCUGGCGGCGUGCUUAACACAUGCAAGUCGAACGGAAAGGCCCUGCUUGCAGGGUACUCGAGUGGCGAACGGGUGAGUAACACGUGGGUGAUCUGCCCUGCACUUCGGGAUAAGCCUGGGAAACUGGGUCUAAUACCGGAUAGGAGCCAUUUUUAGUGUGAUGGUUGGAAAGUUUUUUCGGUGUAGGAUGAGCUCGCGGCCUAUCAGCUUGUUGGUGGGGUAAUGGCCUACCAAGGCGGCGACGGGUAGCCGGCCUGAGAGGGUGGACGGCCACAUUGGGACUGAGAGACGGCCCAGACUCCUACGGGAGGCAGCAGUGGGGAAUAUUGAACAAGGGGCGCAAGCCUGAUGCAGCGACGCCGCGGGGGGGAUGACGGCCUUCGGGUUGUAAACUCCUUUCGCUAGGGACGAAGCUUUUUGUGACGGUACCUAGAUAAGAAGCACCGGCUAACUACGUG
rnacentral:rRNA from 1 species